rnacentral:rRNA from 1 species
AGAGUUUGAUCAUGGCUCAGAACGAACGCUGGCGGCGCGUUUUAAGCAUGCAAGUCGAACGGUAAUAGAGUGCUUGCACUCUAUGAGAGUGGCGAACGGGUGAGUAACACGUAGAUGAUCUAUCCUUGGAUCCGGGAUAGCCUGUGGAAACACAGGGUAAUACCGGAUACGACCUUAUCUGUAAAGGGAUAAGGGGAAAGUCGCUUCGGCGACGUCCGGGGCUGAGUCUGCGGCUCAUUAGCUUGUUGGUAGGGUAAUGGCCUACCAAGGCGACGAUGAGUAGCCGGCCUGAGAGGGCGAUCGGCCACACUGGGACUGAGACACGGCCCAGACUCCUACGGGAGGCAGCAGCUAAGAAUCUUCCGCAAUGGGGGCAACCCUGACGGAGCGACGCCGCGUGAAUGAAGAAGGCCGGAAGGUUGUAAAGUUCUUUUCCUGGGGGAGAAUAAUGAUUGGGAGGUAAUGCCAGUCAGAUGACGUGAACCAGGGAAUAAGCCCCGGCUAAUUACGUGCCAGCAGCCGCGGUAACACGUAAGGGGCAAGCGUUGUUCGGAUUUAUUGGGCGUAAAGGGCGUGUAGGCGGUUAAGUGUGUCUGGUGUGAAAGACUCCGGCUCAACCGGAGGACCGCGCUGGAAACUGCUUAACUAGAGUGAUGGAGGGGGAGCUGGAAUUCCUGGUGUAGGGGUGAAAUCUGUAGAGAUCAGGAAGAACACCGGAGGCGAAGGCGAGCUCCUGGCCAUAUACUGACGCUAGGCCCGAAAGCGUGGGGAGCAAACAGGAUUAGA